rnacentral:lncRNA from 1 species
CAGACAUAAUGAUUUAAUUACCUUGUUUUUUUGCUCAUUAACCAGUUAUUGUUGAGUUUGAAUAAAUCCAACUUGAUUAGCAGGGACGAGAAGGCUACCUCCGUAUUUCCUCAUUCAUGUUAUACCAUUUCUUUUCUUUGCCCGCUGAUCUUUAAAGAAAUUGGGCUUCUUUGUGGGGAAUGCUUCUAUUGCCUCUUGAACUCAGGAAUUCUGAAUUUGUGGCUCCUUUAAAUAUCCUUGUCCUGGCUUGCUGGAGGUUUGGCUCACUCAAGAUGCUAUUUUCUCUGCCUGUUUUGAUUAGCCCAUCUUAGUCUUGGUAAUCAUAAAUUUAUUUAUUUGCUUAUUAUUUAUAAAUGAAUAAGUUUAUAAUUUUGAAAUACUUUAAUUAAUAAGCAGGAAGAAUACAUUCAACAAAAUAAUAAUGCCUUUCAGAACAAUUUUUCUUCUCUUUAGUAGAGUUCUUUAUCUUACUUGUAAGAAAGAACCAAAGCUCUAUUUCCCAGUAGCCCUACAGGCAGUGUCUAUGCCCUGCUUGGUGGCUGUGUUUUGAUCUAUCAGCAGGUCUACGAAGGUUUAAUAGCAAGGCAGUACAUCUUUGGCUGAUGUAGCAUUUUGUAAGACCUUCUGGCUAAGCUCAGGAUGGUUUAACUUGUUGCCCUUCAAACAGAGAUGUCUCUUAGAACAGAGUUCAUAUCUCCACAUGGGCAGCUGAUGCCCUUGGUGCUCCUCUCCUCAGUAUAUAUGUGAUAUGGGCUUUGAUUUUUCCUAAUGCUCAGGGCAGCCUAGCCUGACUGAUGAUACGCACUUUCAACAUCCUUGAUGAACUCCGAGUGGUCAGCAUCCCAGUCUUCAUUAUUGCCCUCUACGAGCCCCCACUUCCGACCUGCCCCAGACUCCAUCUUCAGGCUGUUCUCAUCUUUCCACAUAGAACCGAGGUUCUUCACCAUGGAUUUCCCAUCCCUCGUCUCUUGAUUGUUUCCUCCAUCUUUCUUCAAUUCUCCUUCUCCCCAAGCUUUUCUGUAUACAACCCACUGUGUUUUAUCUGGGUCAGCGUCUUCUCAAUAUCCCAUAGGCCAUUUCCAUCCAAUUUUAAAGGCUUGAAAGAGGAUCCAGCUGUCCACUCAUAGAACUGAAGCCACUUUUGUCCCUUGGUGGAAUGUUUUCUUAUACAUGGUAAUGUUUAGAGAACAUUACAAUAGAAAGAGUAGGAGGAGGAAGAAGGAGAGGAAACUAAAGAGAGAGGAUGAAUAACUUAAGUAGGAUAUAGGGCUGAGGUAAGGCAACUACCCUGGGCAAGCCUAACUUCAAAACAAUGUGUCCCAGGAUUUUCCAUUAACUCCUUAAUAGCCAAGUAAGAGAAAUAUCAACAUAGGCUUAUGAGAUGGAAAGGUGCCUACAACUCAUUGAGAGUCCAUUUGGUGCAAGGUUAUGAUUUUAUAGUUUUUAUAGUAAUGUGUAGAAUUGAGUCCUGUAAUUCAACAUAUCAGAAUCCUCUUUUAGUUAUACUACAACUUCAUAUUGCAAAGGAUCAAAUCAUAGACCCCACAAAAUACAGAAAUCAGAUUGAAACUAUAGACCAGAUAUUAUGCUACAAGUCAUAUUUAUAGUUUUACAUUCAUGUGUUAGUUGUAAAACUGUUUUGUAGCCAAUGUUUUUAUCAAUAAUUGUAAAUAUAAUCAAAAAUUUUGUGUAAUAUAUUAACUUCUUGACAUUUAUCUUGAGACAAUAUUUUAGAAAAGGGGCUUUGUGCAGACUUGAUUAAUAAAGACAAUGAUAAGUAGAAGUAUAUAAAAUUUCAAGUUAGAGAAAAUUUAUAGCACAUCACCUUAAUAUCUUACAAUUAAGUUAUAGUAAAUAUUAGGUGUGUACAUAAACCUUAGUAUAAUAUUCCAGGUUUUACAAAUAUGGGCUAUGGAGUCAUAUAUGUUUAAUAUUAAAUAUGCUAAUACAAAAUUAUUUAUUUUGCACUUCAGUCAAACAUGGAAAAUAUGUUAGAGUAAUGAAUGAAAUGCAUGUAUUUAUUCCAUCUCAGUUUAUUCAUAUUGACUUUCUGUAAAAAAAAAUCUAUUUCUUUUGUAGUGUUUGACAUAAUACUAAAUAGAGCCUAUGAUGUCCUGCUGAUGAAAUUUUACAGUCACAGCACAUGGAUUCAUGUGUCUUAAACAGUUAGAACACUAAGUGGAAAGGAGACAAAGACGAAAAUCAACACCUACAGUUCCAAACCUUGUUUUAAGGAUCAGAUUAUUAACCACUGAACCACAGAGAGAGUCACUGCAACAUGAGUCGCUAAGAACACUAAUGUUAUUUUGAAGAUCAUAGUGAAGAUUACAGUGGCCAAGAAACUGAGUCAGAAAACGAACACCUGUAAAUGUUUUUCAUAGCUGUACACUUAACUAUUCUAAAUACAGAUUUAUACUCAAUGAUGAAGUUAAGACAAAACUUGUUAAUUUCAUAAUCCUGGGGAAUUAUCAGCAGAUAGAAUUUAUAUGUCCAUCAUCAGUUCAUUGGAAAAAGUGGUUGAUCAAUUACAUAAUCUUUGAAAUUGCAGUCAUUCUUUAGAAUCAAUUCUUUUGGAAAAGGAUCUUAUUUAGCUUUAAAAGGCAGUGGUAUAAAUCACGUACCUGAUUGGUUGGACACCUUUUGAGAACAAAGGAGUUUGUUAAAUGCAUCUUUCAUGUCCUUAUUUUUCAGGCUGCAUAUAAGAGGAUUGGAAAAAAGGGGCAAACACAGAAAAUGUAAGAACAGUGGUGUUGUACCAGAACUGUGUAUAGGUAGCAGAGUCGAAGAUCCUUAAGGGUCACACUGCCGGAAAACAACAGGAAGACAGCAUUGUGGGUAGUACAAGUGGGAAAAGCUUUUUUGUGAUCCUCUGUUGAGAUGCUCAGAAUAACAACAAUAAUUCUUAUGUAAGAAAGACAAAUAAUCAGACUUGUGAUCAGAAUAGAGCAUGUAUCACGUCUUGAACCAAAACCACUGAGGCAUCUGUACAGGCUACCUUUAACAAAGGGGUGAAAUCACAGAAUAUUCUUUGCUACUUAAAAAAAAAAAAACUUGAGAGACAUUUCCAGCUAUCUCAUAGAUAUUUAUCAUUGACUGUCCCUAUGACUCCCUUCUUCUCAACAUUGUUUUUUUUCCUAUGCUGUGUUUGCUUCACAUUCCAUGGCUAUGGGAAGAGUGGCCAGCAUAGCACAGUCUCCUGUGCGCUCAUCAGACUGGACUGUGAUCUGUAACAGUUGAGUGGGCAAAUGGCCUUUCUAACAAUAUCUACGUGUUCAGUGCCUCCUUUCUUCAUUUUUAAUAAGACAAUCACAGAGAGGUAGAUCUGGUAGGGCAUGCACUUAAAGUCUUAUCAUCAGCUGAAUGAUAUUGUUAGUGCACAAAGACUUGAGGUUACGGGCCAGCGUAAUGCACCCAUAGAUGAGGUGCAGUCUACAUCACAGGCCAAUCUCAGGAGUUUGCUUACUGUCUGGAGGUGACAUAAUUAGCAAAAGGACAGCCCAUCACUAGAAAACAUGUCUCUUUAGCUCCAGAGUCUAUACUUUUGGCCGAAUUGGUCACAGUCUUGCUUAAUACUGAAUUUAUCACUAAUUUUUCAGGUUGGAAAAGAAUAUUACAUUUAAAAGCAGAGAACUAAAGUUCACUGUAACAGCAUGCAUUUUGAAAGAUUACAUAAGCCCCAGAAGGGUUACAUAAGAGGCAAACUUCGCAAAUAUCACCUUAUGUGAAAUGCUAUCUGAGUUAAGCAUCCCAUUAUACAGCACUGUCAAAUUAAAUACCUGGGUGAACAUCCUUAAGCCUUUGAAAAUGGAAGAAUAAUAUGAUGAUCAUAGAAGAAAUAAUUUCUGAAAACCUUGCAUAUUCGUCUAGAUCAUUUUCUAUUUGGUGUAUACAGUAGGGUGUGGAAUUAAAGCUAAAGAUAUAUUUAGUAGAUGGUAAACAAUUAUACUAUGCCUCUGUGCUGGUCUCUCAGUGCUAGAGAGAAAUGGGAUAGCAUAGAUGACACUAGAUAGUUGUUAAAGGAUAUUUUGAGAUGCUGGAAGCCUCUCUUUUGCUAAAAUUGCUACUUAUUUAAUUUCAUCUAUCAAGUUUAUAGUUAUCAUAUAACAUACACAUUCAUAAGUAAAUGGCAACAAUGCAAGGCUUAUUGUGCGCAUGCCAGGAGUUAGACACGCUUUCUCACUCUUUGAAUGGUGGAUUUCUAGGCUUAAGCAGUACCAGAUUCCACCAUGUGGCUGAACAAAAUGACAAAUACAGUAUUCAUAGUAUUCAUGGUUACCUCCCAGCAAUCAGAAUGUGCAUACUUACUUCAGAAAUCCAUGUUCCCCAAUGUAGCUUUGAGGCUUCUUGAUGGUAGAGACCCUGAAUGGGAAUAUGUAAUAACAAGCUCCACUUACUGAUGUCCCAGUCUGUAAGAGGAAAGGAAGGCAGAGGAAAUUCACAGAAGGUUGACUCUAAGCCAUCUUCUAAUUUAACUGUUGUAGAUUAGAAUUGUGUACUAAUACAUUUCCAUGCAAGGGGAAUGUACUUUAUCAUACUUCUCACAGAAGAGAACAUUAAUCUUAAGCAAAGGAAUUUGGUUAUUCCUCCCACUCUGUGUAAAUUAAUUUGUGAAUAUAAUCCAACUGAUUUUUUAUUCUUUCAGUUUAGUUGUUUUUUGUUUUGAGAUAGGGUUUCACCCUAUACCCCAUGUUGGUCUAGAAUGUUCCACCUGAACCUAGGCUGUGUUCCACCUGAACACAGCAAUCCUCAUGCCUUGAUCUCCCACCUCUGGGAUGAUAGGCACGAGCUACUGUACUCAGCUAACUCAACUGAGUUUUCUCAAUUUUUUUCUUGAGUCGCUUGUCCUCCUUCCUUUAUCAACCUGAACAUGAAAGGAAAUGGACAGCGACCAUCAGUCUUUGGCGUGGGCCAUACAUUUUCUAGGGGUGAAGGGGCUGGGGCAUGAGCUAGAAGAGAAGAACAUGUUGAAGUUCGGCUACCAGAUUUCUUCAAAAAAUAGUUGAUGCUCCUUUCUGAAAGGAUUCUGGUACAAAAGGGUCUAUCCUGUGCCCUUAACACAGCAUUCAGCUCUCACAGAAACAUCACAUCCUUUUCCCAUAAAUAGUACACUCUGCUUAUCUUUCCUAGUGUGUUGAAAGGGUGCUGAGCGCACACAUGCUAGAUGAAUUGCACCUUGUAUAACUGUAUUCUCGACCAGCAGCAUGAGUCUGAGGCAAAGACAGCAUACAUUCUGUGUUUGCUAAAGGAGAUGUUGAAUUAAGCAGAAAAGUAUAGUUUGGAGUGAACAAUAUCUAGAGGAAUCUAAAUUGACAGAGUGAAUGGGGGAGAAACCGUGGACACUGGUGUGAGUAAGGCAGUAUGGAGACUCUGAGGUUCCCGUUGCGAUCCACACAGUUAAGGUGGGAUUCUCCAGGGAAGGGACAUCCAAGUGAACAAAAGAUGAGUCAGGCGCCAAGGACUGAAUGGUUCAAUUUUAUUGUAAAUAUUUGGGAAUAAUCUUGCCUAGGAAGGAGGUUUGGGUCUCCUUCACCAAUACAGCAAAAAUCUGAAAAAGGUUGUUUAUGGUGGAGAUAUGGAGAAAAGGGCACACACCCCAAACUUAGAGUCUCUUAGAAUAGAGCACUGAAUGAUGUUGACUCAUUUCCUUAGCAUCUCAGCCUCGAACCCAGGAAACUGAGAAGAUGGAGAUUAGAUUUGCUAAUAGUGAUAUCUGUGUUGUCAAGUUCUAGGCUAUGAACAUCUGUUUCAUGCUUCUUUAGGGAUGAGUCAGUUUAGGAAGCCCUGUCUCAUUUUUACCUCUUUGUCCCUGCGAUUCAUGCUGAUGACUGAACAGUUUGCUUCUUUGUUGUCAAGGUGCUUUUCUUGGAGACUUUAUUAAAGGAACAAAUAGUGAUGAAUGGCUGGGAGAAGAUGCUCAAACUGGAGUUCCCAUGUGAGCCUUUCUGUAACCCACCAUCUCUGUCAGCUUGCUGAUGUUUUCAGCAUCUGGGCAAAUAAUAUUAAUAACAUGGAGGCUGUGUUUGCAAUUGCUUUAAGAAAUCUUUCUGCAAAGUGAGCAUUUUCUUUAUGUUAAAGCUUUCUCUGGAGUCUAUGCACUGAUUCUUAUGUGGUUGCCAGUGCUCAAAAUCAUUUGUACAAAGUUCUUUUUAUUGGACUUUGGAGUGUCUGACCAUUGUAUUCAUAGUUGGACCUAAAGACUAAUUUAGUAAGUUUACAUUGAUUCCAAUGACUUGCUUCCAAUCCCUUAUCAUCUGGCACAAGCAAUGUAAUUUAAUUUGUGCAUCCAAUCUCUCUCCAAUAAGUCUUGUAUCACUUUUGAGUUGAAAAGCUUAACUCAAGACCACCCAACAGAAGAUUUUGUCCAGCCAUUACUAUGGUUCUCUUAUGGAAAGGGCUGCAUCAACAACGAGGGCCAUAUAGCUAAAUACCAACAUUUGUGCUGGGGAGCUGGGCUACAUAAUCAGAAAGGAGGACUGGAGAGAGGGGAUAAGAAUCGUAGAAAAAUCAAUUCAGGAAAUUACCUGAGGAUAAUUUGAGGGGAACUUAUCAGUUUAAGACUUGAAUCUUGUCUGACUUGUUCUGCCCAUGGAAGAAUUUGAUCCAAGCUAAAUGGAGCAAAUCCCCAGAAUGCUAGCAGACACUUCACAUCUUAUUCUUAAUCCUUAAAUCAAUGAUUGAUAAGGACAUCCUGAUCAAAUGAGAUACUCUUGCUCCACCCCUCAGAAAAAGUCAAUUACCUCUUAAGUUACCCAGCAAGCUAAGGUAAUAGGUACGGGUUUAUAAAACAGGAUUGGAAGAAGAACGUUGUUUGCUUUUCUCAUUUGCAAUAGUUGCCUCGGAGUUAAAAGUUGCUUCUUGGCAGAGAGAAAGGGCUAUAAAGAAAGCUUCGGGUUGGUUUCUAGAAAUCUUACAAGAAACAAAAGGAAGCUGCUUUCAAAAACUAGAGUGGGUUUGCCAGCAAUUACGUUUUGCAAAAUGUAAAUAAAUAAAAAUAAAAUAAAAUAAAUAAUGCAUGCUGUUUUCAAAGACCCUGACAAACCAUGACAGAAGAAGGGCAAAAAAAAAUCAACUUUAUUUUUUCCUUUGGUUUUAGGGUGGCGAGUUUCAUGACAAAAAUAAAGUGAGUCUGUGUUCUCUAAGUAAUUUAUUAGUGCAUCUUGGCACAGCAGCACUAAUGGGCUUGCUGCCAGGUGUUCCGAGCUGCAGUUUGUCAUGUCUGACUUCUUAGUUCUUCCGAGCAAUUGAAGAAAUGGCCUUCUGCAGGCUGUCAGUGACAGAUUCUAGCGCACUCACAUAGAUAAAGCUCAAUUAGCUCCUGGAAAAAAAAAUCUUUUAAAAAUGCAAUGAGCGGCACCAUGAAAGAUAGGUAGACGAUGUCACCUGAAACAAAAUAAAAUGUUACCAUUGAGGGAAGGACGUGUCCACAAUGAACAAGUGUGUUGUUGCCUUAUCGGAAAAUUCUCCCACUUAAAACAAAAAGGUGAUCGUUAUUAAUUACUUCAAGUGUUAGGAAGACCUUUGCUUUAGGAGCUUGGUCUGGUUGGAAAUUCUGAAGAGAUAGCACAUCAUUCUGGCCUCCAUCUUCUCAACCGUCCGUCUAUCUGUCUAUCCACUGAUGACCAAAGCCCAUGCUCCACAAAGUGCAAACGAUUCUCGCUUCAAACAGAACUAUCAAAGUAACUUCUUGGGCUGGGGAUGUAGCUAGUGGACAGAGUGUUUAUUUGGUACAUACGGCUCCUGGCUUUGCUCGGAAGUACUAUCUAAAGCUGGCAUGGUGAUGCACACCUGUAAUAUUAGCUCUCAGUGGGUGGAGGUAGAAGGAUCAGAAGUUCAGGGUCAUCCAAAACUAUACAAUGAGUUCAAGGCCAGCCUGGAAACAUGAAACCCUGCCUCAAACAAAAACAAAAACAAAAACAAACAAACAAACAAACAACAACAACAACAAAACUCCAAACAUGUGUGGCAACCUUAUAUGCUAUUCAAUUCAAAUAGUAGUUUGAAUGUGGUUGUUGCACAUUUUAAAAAUCAAGGCAUUUCACACAUAAGAAAAUCCAGGUUUUGACAUCUCUUAAUAUAUAAAAAUACUUGAAAAAGUGAAUAUCUGUUCCUUUAGUGUAAAAACGUAACCUACAAUGCUAAUUAAAUACCAGCUGCUCUCUGAAAGGUGCCCAUCACAGAAGUCCACAGGGCUGGCCUCACCCAGCCAUUUGUUUGUCUCACCCUAGUCUGAACAGGAGGACCCUGAUUUGAAUGCAAAGAACAGUUCUCUAACAGUCAUUCUGAGGUUUUCCUGCAAUAAAAUUACUUACUUUUUUUUUUUUUUACUAAAGUUCAAGAAUCUUCAAUCUUGCUGGGUGUGGUAGUACAUGACUUAGUCCCAGUAUUCAGGAGGCAAAGUCAAGCAGAUCUCUGUGACUGUAAGACUAGACAUUGAGGUACAGAGCAGCUAGGGCUACAUAUGGCCUAUCUCAAACAAACAAACAACAACAGCAGCAACAAUAUGUCCUAUGUCCUCAUCUUAAACAAAAAUAAAGUGGAUGGCUAUAAAGCGUGAUUAUUCUUCACAAAUUAAACUGGGAGCCACUGGUGUCAAAGAUCAAAUAGAAUCAUGGUCGUUAAGAAUAGAUGCCCAUCUUAAGAUCAUAAAUAAGACUCUGGUUAGGAUGUGAUAUAGAAAUAUGUUGUUUUUCCUAAUCACCGUACCUUACUCUUAAUGGCUAUUUCCCCCCCUUGAAAAAUAUCAGCUAACCGAAAUUACUCUACUGAGAAAAACUUAAAUGACUUACUGUCUGUCGUUGGCUUAGGCCAAAAUUUCAAUUUGGAGAUAAAAUCCACUACAUUUUAUGAACUAAUUUGCUCUCUGUGCGAGCGUUGAACUUGAUAGCUAUAUUUGUUCCUGGCACUGCUGAAUCAUAAUUACAGGAAAUGGUCUACAGCUAGAAUUCAAUUGGCACAAAGCCUAAAUGAAUUAAUAACAAUUCUGUCUUCCUUCCCUCCCUUCCCCCAGGAGCUUUUCUUUGACUCCUGACAGGCCUUAGCCAGAGAGCUCCUGUAAUCUAUUAUGAUAACAACAGUAUAAUCCCUUACCUUUGUGUGGGUGUCUUAACAGUUUUCAAAGUGUGCUCUCAGCUAUGCUAUGGUCUUUCAUUCAGCCCAUUGACUGAGAUAGGGAUAGAUAAAGAAACGAAGCCGAAUUUAUCUUGCACAUGGUUGCAGAGUGAAGAGCUGGUCCCUAGGCUUUAGAAAUUGAAGUUUGCUUUUGUUCUUUUACAUUAAGCCCAAAUUAAUUAAUUAAUUAAAAGCCUGAAUUUGUAAUGCAAACUUUGUCACCUAUUAAAAUAUCCUCAUGGGCUUAUUCCAAGUGGGUGCCACAUCGUGUAUAAAUAGAGCAUUAAGGAUCAUUAGCCAAUCUCUGGAAGUCUCCGGGAGCUGGGAUAGGAGCUCCCAUUCACAGGUGGAAUCCAGAAUCAUAUGAAUAUCUUCACCACAUUCCUGGGAGUUGUGUAAUUUGCACUGGUGACUUAAGUCCAUAAGCCCUUUCUGGAUAAGGUGGGCUUUUAAAUGUUUUUGUGUUUUGUUUUGUUUCUCAUCUAUUGGCAAAUAUCAGGAAGAAAUGAUAACAACUGAGACCAGUUGCAACAGAUGCCAUCUUGCAUUUCUCAUCAUCCCAGAGGUGCAUCUCUCUUCAAACCUUGUGCUUUGAGUGUUGGGAAUCCUCGGAAAUCCUGG